rnacentral:rRNA from 1 species
UGAGUAGCGCGUAUGCGACCUGCCCGUUGCAGGGGGAUAAUCGGGAGAAAUCCCGUCUAAUACCGCGUAACGCCGCGGGGCUGCAUGGCCCUGCGGCCAAAGGGAGCGAUUCCGGCAACGGAUGGGCAUGCGUGACAUUAGCUAGUUGGCGGGGCAACGGCCCACCAAGGCGACGAUGUCUAGGGGUUCUGAGAGGAAGGUCCCCCACACUGGUACUGAGACACGGACCAGACUCCUACGGGAGGCAGCAG